rnacentral:rRNA from 1 species
GACGAACGCUGGCGGCGUGCUUAACACAUGCAAGUCGAACGGAAAGGCCCUGCUUUUGUGGGGUGCUCGAGUGGCGAACGGGUGAGUAACACGUGAGUAACCUGCCCUUGACUUUGGGAUAACUUCAGGAAACUGGGGCUAAUACCGGAUAGGAGCUCCUGCUGCAUGGUGGGGGUUGGAAAGUUUCGGCGGUUGGGGAUGGACUCGCGGCUUAUCAGCUUGUUGGUGGGGUAGUGGCUUACCAAGGCUUUGACGGGUAGCCGGCCUGAGAGGGUGACCGGCCACAUUGGUACUGAGAUACGGACCAGACUCCUACGGGAGGCAGCAGUGGGGAAUAUUGCACAAUGGGCGGAAGCCUGAUGCAGCAACGCCGCGUGCGGGAUGACGGCCUUCGGGUUGUAAACCGCUUUCGCCUGUGACGAAGCGUGAGUGACGGUAAUGGGUAAAGAAGCACCGGCUAACUACGUG